rnacentral:rRNA from 1 species
GCGGCUACGGGGUAUCUCGUGGCCACGCCUGUUCGAGGGUUG